GUCAGAGCGCCGUCGCGCUGCACAUAGAGGGAAGGAAGCCACGUUGACAUCAAUUAGUGUUUUCAUCGUUUGAUAAACUAGAACACCGAACCGAAUCUUCCGUUCACCGUGAAUCUCGGCGGAGGUGUGUCGGUCAUCAGGAUGAGUGUGGGCUUCAUCGGAGCGGGUCAGCUGGCACAUGCCCUGGUCAAGGGCUUCACAGCGGCGGGUGUAAUUGCGGCGAACAGAAUCACAGCGAGUUCACCGGACACAGAUCUGCCGACAGUCUCUGGCCUGCGGG